ensembl:lincRNA Gm13817 predicted gene 13817
GUUUUGGAGCAGUUGUUUCCACAGUUGGGACUUGUUUGGCUUGCCCAGGAGGAUGGGAAUAGUAAAAUCAGCUUAGGGACUUGAUGCGGGAGCCGAUCUUAUUCCAUAGCACUGUAGAACUUGCUGUGUAAUAUCGAGGUUGAUCAGCACAAUUUGUUGAAGAUUAUUUUUUCCCAUGUGUAUUUCCAACUUUGUCAAAAAUCAAGAAACACUUGUGCAGCUUGGAGGAUGGCAGAGAGGAAUUGAGGUGGCCUAGGAGAGAACUUCCCGAAGAGCUAAGGGGAUCCUGUCCACAUCUGGAGCGAAGAAACCCUCCUGGUGCAGACAGCAAAAGGCCUGUUUCAAGUGAGGGAUGGCUAGUUCAAGGACAGGAGGGUGACAUCACAAGGACCAAUCUGUAAGCCAGAAGACUCAGAAGACUAAAAAGGCAAAAUUAGGUAGCAGGGGUUACCUGCUCAGAGCAGAGACAGAUGGGAAACUUCUGUCAUCAUUAAGGUUUUAUUGACCAGCGCGGCUGGAAUUUCCCAGAGAGAGGAAUUCAUCUCGCUACCGACUGAGAGCAGACAUUCUGCUGGGAGUAGUUACAUAAAUUCUGUUGCUCAAA